rfam:Picea glauca, whole genome shotgun sequence.
GACUACUAUUAUACCCUUUAUACAUUUGGUAUAAAGAGAAGAUUAGAAUGGCUAAUGUGUAAGGAUAACACGCUUAAAUCGAUAAAUGGUUCAAAUUUUU